GACAGAGGUGCCAAGCGUUAGGCGGAAUCACUGGGCUUAAAGCGUGUGUAGGCGGAAUUGUAAGUACCUUGUGAAAUCCCACGGCUCAACCGUGGAACUGCUCGGUAUACUGCUUUUCUUGAGCCACUUAGGGGCUGUCGGAACAAACGGUGGAGCGGUGAAAUGCGUAGAUAUUGGAAAGAACACCGAUGGCGAAGGCACUCUACUGGGCUAUUACUGACACUCAGAGACGAAAGCUAGGGGAGCAAAUGGG
rnacentral:rRNA from 1 species